rnacentral:lncRNA from 1 species
GAGAAUUCUCUCGCCUGCCUUCGGCCCUUAGGCUCCGGGAGAUUGCAAAUAACCUGCUUUCUUUCUGUUCCCAGGUGGCGUCGGACCCCUGUCAGAGAGUAAAUCUCAAGUAAGGUACCUGCCAUCGGCAGAUUUGAGCUUUCUUCUUGGACACCUAAUACCCACAGUCCUCCAGUAAAUCCCAAGUAAGGUACCUGCCCUCGGCAGAUUUGAGCUUUCUUCUUGGACACCUAAUACCCACAGUCCUCCAGGAUAACUUCAGGAAGUGGGUAUUAAUUCUCACGGUAUAAGUGAAGACAUUAAGCACCAGAGUUUAAGUAGCUUGAUCCACUGAAAGAGAUUCAACUGUGUGGAACCUAUGCCGUGGAGAAUUGCUUUCUGCCAUUGUUAUCGUCCAGCAGUUGCCGAAUAGCUCUGACCUGAGCAAAGCAGUGAAACGCGGUGCUGUUGAGUGGGUUGCCACUGCACCUUUUUCAACUACUCUAGUCUUGUGGAGAAAAUACCCCUUCUAAAUUUUUUCUUCAUUGAAUACUCUCCCUCAGCUCC